GCUACAGAAAGUUGAGGGUAUGAGACAAAGCUGCAAGUCAUGUCUCUGCCGUCUUAAAGUCUAUACUUAGGUGCCAAAUGUAGACGAUUCUUCACCUCGCCACCACUUCAGUCAAUCUAUCAUUACCGUGUUUUGUUGGCGAUGUUUGUGAGGACAGUACGUGCGCCAUCUUGACUUCAAGAUUCCACGAAAUUUUCACUUCAGGAGCAUUGGCUCAGGAACAAACUGGCUGUUGAAUGAAAGAUUUCAUAAAACAAACAUUGUGCAAGAUGUGCAGCAUGUGAAAUAUACAGAAUCUUUCCUGAAUGGAAGAAAGCGUCGACAGGAAGCGUACGCUAGCAGAUCGACAUUGAAAGCACAAAAAUUGAAAGUAUUUCUUGUGAAGUCAGAAACAGCCAGCCUCCCAACUACUUGAAAAUUUUACAGCACCGACCAGUUCUACAAGCAUAUAUGUCAAGCAACUACACGCCUGACGGCGCUGAGCGCUUUGUCUACGUUCUCUACGUUGCUGCCGCGCUCUACCGUGUUUUCCCCUCGCAGAGCAUAUAUACGGUGUACAAAGUAUCGAGAAUCAUGUAGAAACAUCUAGAAGUCGGUCCUCCAUUGUUUCAUGUAUGACUGGAGUCUCUGGCCUCAUACGUCAUUGUGUGCGUCAUUUAGACGACGUCAUUUUUCAAGAAAAAUCCAGAAGCAGUUGAACGUCUGCUUGAAGAAGAAGAAGAAGACCGGUCGGUCGAAAACUCUCUGCGAACAACGAAAGAAUAACAUUCUGUUUCUCUCAUCUGAUGGACCAGUUGUGUUAUCGACGUUGUGUUAUCGACAAGUUAAUUAAGCAGUGUACUUUCUCCAUUCUGACCGCUACCAUCAGCUGUCUUCACUCUCCAUCUCUACCACUUUAGCUGAAGGUCAAACGUCUCCAUUGUACAUUUCUGCUAAAACUGAAGAUCAACAGUCUACACUUUCUUUCACCUUUAUCUAAGGGGGCUCGCCAAAGUGUUGCACAUCUGUAUUAGGACUGCAAGAGAAAGAGCAAGACAGUAACAGAGUAUUUGGAAGUUGCAAGCUUCCUUUUACACGGAAACAGCAAACUAUACAUCAUCCAUGGAUUCCAGACUGUUUGUGUCUAGCUUAUUGAGUGGCAGUCCAUACACAAGGCCAUUGUGAUGUUGACAGAAUCAGUACAACAGAACCCAGCCCCUCUCUACAUCUCAGUGACAUGUCGGCAAGUUUUAUAUCAGGCUCUGCUGUCAUUGGUGUGUCUUCCAUUUCCAUCUGUUUCUGCUUUUGCAAGCGGCACUCACCCUCUUCCAGCAGGGCCUGCUGGGUCCUGACUAUCAGGUGGUCUGUGAGUGCCAAGAUGUGAAGGUCUCCUCCAUCCAGUUGCUCCAAGCAUCCAAGGCCCGGUUAUCAGCUGUGUCUGCACUCUUGACAUUUCGAGCACCACUCAACGUCACAAUCAACAGUCAACGUCCAAGUUUUCAACUUCAGAGCCAGUUACCCAUGCUGGCAUGCAGACGAAAUACUCAACCAGUGUUAGUAAUGCUGACUUUUUCUUCUGAACAGCUUGUGACUGACAGUUUAAACCCUGCAUUUGCUUUAAAAUACAUUCAGUGUUAAGCAGUCUGGAGGUUGAAGGAUCCUGCUGCUGCAUUUUCAGUGACAUACAAGAGCACUCUGAGCAUAAAGGAAAGCCCUUUAUACCGUCUAAAGGUUGAAGAGCUUAUUAACAAGAUUUCAUACCAGACAAAGAUUGAAACGGAGGUUUGCUUAGCGCCGACUGUGAAGGUCGCUGACGUCAUUUUUCCGAAGAGUCACGAAUUUUUCCUUUCGCUGAGACAUUUACAAAAAAUAAAAAAUAAAAAAAAGUCAGUGCCCGGUAAAACACUUCGCCGUAGAGGUACCGAUAGAUCAGCUAUAGAGGCCUGUAAGGGUUAGGCAAUGACUGAUAACUACAUUGGAAGUGAUACAAAUAGCAAGCACAACCAGAGUCCUUUCUUGGACACCCACUGUGACCUCCAUCUCCUGGACAGAGUGCGCUAGACUCUGCCCCUUUGUCGAUCGCGUCCUGCCAGCCAGCAGUAGUGGCGACAGGACAAAACAUAUUACAGUCAAAAUGCCCUCCGGCCAUCUUCCCCAAAUCCCCCCUCUCGAGAUAGUGCUCGUACGAGCAAAAAUAUAUACAUAUGCAUGAUAUGAAAGAGAUAAUGUGAAUGUAUUUGUUCAAAUAGUGUCUCUCACAUACACAUUCUCCCCCCAACACAUGCACACACAUUCCUAACAACGUCAGAUACAAUGGAUGACUUCAGGCUAGUACAAGAUGACAGCUAGUAGAGUUUAUCAAGUGAAUGAAUGAGUUGCAGUGACAAUUAGUUCUGAAUACAGGCAUCACGUACCUACAGCCAGACAGCAAGAGUGAAAACUCACAUGUUGUCAACACAUGAUCAGAAAUAGUAAGAGUGAGAACUCAACUUGAAACAGAGGUUUGCUUAGCGCCGACUGUCAAGGUCGCUGACGUCAUUCUUCCGUUUCAGGAACAAACACACCCAAAACAAAAGUCUCAGUGCACCCCGAAUGUUGGAAACUUCAUAAUGUGAAUAGAAUGUACGUCAGACACAAACCUCCACCAGUCAGUUUUGUUUUUGUCAGUGAUGACACAAUUCACUCAUUGAGACACACAAAACAAGCAAACAGCAACUUACAGACAGUAUUAUCAGAUGUAUCUCCUGAAACCUUUAUUCAUCCAUUGAUAUCAUUUCAUGUUCAAUCAAGCAAAAAUAAAGAUGUAAGCAAUAUAAGUCCAGUUUAAACCCACCGCAUGUCAAGGCAGAAGAAAAAUGACCCAAAAGUCCACACUUCACUGUGCCACACCCACCAAAUACGCUAGCAUAUAUACAGGCUAUUGCACAAACCCUCAUCACAUCAAUGAAGCACAGAGAUAAAAAAGAAACAUUACAAAACAACUACUUAACCAAUGUCUUUUCCCUCCUUAUGACGAAGGAAUCAGGUAGGAUAAGAAACACUAGUCCGUGGUGCUUUCAUGAAGCUGCAGAAUGAGCCACCUGGAAAAGUUUCCAUGUCAGAGGCUCUGAGGAAACCACUUAUUUCUGCUCACAUUGCUUUCUAGAGUUGUCGUCUUUGUUUUGAACAUUAUUUGAGCCUUGGGUUGGGCCGAGUUUGGGCCCUGCCACACCACCUGCUAGUUUUUCUGGGAGGGUUUUGGAACUGUUUUAGUAUAUAUUUUUUUUUUAUGCCUAAUAUUUAACGUCUAAGCUCACAUUAGCAUUUUGGUUACUUUCUACAAGGAUUCACUGACACACACAGAGUUGGGAAGGUUCUGGUUAUGAUGUAGAAAAACUGUGUGUAUAGUAAAUACUAACAUUCUUUGUUAGCCAGUAGUGAGGCAAAAUAUUUCAGUAUUAACAUAGUACCUUUCUAACUAGAGGGGUGACUAUGUGGCUGUGGGACAGUAUGUGAAGUUAAGAGCCUUGAUUUUUUUUCUUCAUUUGGUCUUAACAUUUAAACAUUUCACACAUAUAUAUAUAGAAACAAAAUGGAAAUGAACAUGAAUAUCCCAUAAAAGCUAUAUGCCUCUAUUUGAUAAAUGUUGUUCUGGUUAAUAGUUAACACAUCUAUCCUUUCAACACGUCAUUUUUAGAAUUUCUUUAAUAUGCUUGAAAUAAUUAUGUAAUAUAUGUUAUAUUCAUGCACACUAUAUGGUAAUUUCAUAGGACAUCCCACAUCUCAUCUAAUACCACAUGGCUUUGUCUUGUUAUUUACUUCUGGUGAAGAAAUGACGAUUUCUCCAGUGGUCCUAAUACACACAAAAAUAUAGCCUAGUAAGCGCCCCACAGUAUUUGACAUUUUUAGCCAUGUUUGUUAUUAUACUUUGAAGAAACAGUUUCAAUUAAGUUUGAAGUUAUAUUUCAUUGAGAAGAAUUACAUUAUGCAGGUUUCCGCCAAAAAAUUCGGAAUGAUGCUAAGUGAUGAUUCAAGAAGCUAAUGGUCGAGCAUUUAAUUACAUUAGGAUAAAAUUACCAAAAAUUACUUUGCAAUCAAUCUGUGCAGUAAAUGUUACUUUAACUUCAACUAACUUUAACUUUAAUUUUAACUUUAAGUGAGUCAUUAUUUUAGAAAAGAAACUAAAAAAAAACCAAACAGAACCAUUUAGAAACCAAACCUGCCCUUUGA